GCUUGUCUCAAAGAUUAAGCCAUGCAUGUCUAAGUAUAAAUUGCUUAUACAAUGAGAUUGUGAAUGGCUCAUUAAAUUAGUUAUAGUUUAUUUGGUGGUAGCUACUACUCGGAUAAAUGUAGUAAUUCUAGAGCUAAUACGUGCGUAAAUACAGACUCCUAGAAGUGACGUAUGUAUUAGAUUUAAGGCUUGCUCGUCUCUUGGUGAAUCAUGAUAACUUCACGAAUCGCAUGGCCUCGCGCCGGCGAUAUUUCAUUUAAAUUUCUGCCCUAUCAAUUGGUGAUGGUAGAAUAGAGGCAUAUCAUGGUGUUAACGGGUGACGAGGGGUCAGGGUUCGGUUCCGGAGAGACAGUCUAAGAAAUGGCUACCACAUCCAAGGAAGGCAGCAGG
rnacentral:rRNA from 1 species